AUUCUAACUGUUGACUGGCAACAAACAGGCAUUAAAUUGAAGAUGGCUGAGCGUUCAUGACUCCCGUCUAAUUUUAACCUUCCACGUGGACAGGACAAAGGACUCCUGUCUUUCAUUAACUUUUUAAUGAGAACAGUGAUUUAUGAAACAUGAAGAUCAAGCAACUCAGGACAAGAUCCAAGGACCAGCUGUUAGAAUUGUACUCCCCAAGGAAACCAGCACCAUCUUGCACUUCUUAUGGGAGCACGGGUCCUCAUUUCAAGUUACAAGACUACUUCUCAUCAUAGAGUGCUUUGGAUGAAGGCACACAGCUAACAUAGUACCUCCAACUGCCAAGUGAUUUAGGAAGAUGUGUAUUAUGACAGGCUGUUUUUGGUAGCUCUCAGAUGAGGACUUGUUUCCAUGUGUCUUGAGGAAUUGUACCUCAUGCAUUGUAUUUGGUCGGCUUAGGCCUUUCAGUCAUUGUACUGUUGAAUGGACUAUCUCUGUGUUAAAAUGAUUCAACAAUGUCAUCCUUUCCUUUGUGAAAGGUUUUCUAAUAUAUAUAGUGCAUUUUUCUCUAUUACAGUGGGAGCUACAGGAGGAAUGUCUCUGUCCCAUUCCCAACUGAUCCUUCAUACCAGAAAACUGCCUGACACAUGAGAGGCACUUUAUGAGUAUUUAUGAAAUAGACCAACAAGUGAAUGAGUAAACUGAGAACAAGAAGCAGUUUAGGAUAGUCAUGUAAUAAAUAUAUGCUUUUCUCUUUA